GUUGGACUAGUAACUGGAAGCUCGAAUCCCCCAGCUGACAAGGUAGAAAUCUGUCGUUCUGCUCCUGAACAAGGCAGUUAACCCACUGUUCCUAGGCCGUAUUUGAAAAUAAGAAUUUGUUCCUAACUGACUUGCCUAGUUAAAUAAAGCUCUAUGUGAUUGGUCAUGGUGGUGUCACUCUGACCCUGCUUCUGAGUCCAAUCACACGAUGAGCCGCGCCCCCUCACAGCCAGAGAGAAAGAGCUGCAGGAGCUGAGACAGUUUGACCAGGACUGGCGGUGUGGACCCUGCACAGUUGUUUGCAGCGGUGGGAGAGAGCUGAACAGCAUGGGUUAAACCCCCCUCAGGAGAUCAGAUAUAUGCUGUUUAGCACAGACUACACACACUGGUACUAUGAUCAGAAUAGUACACACACAACGCACAAGCAGAUGCACACACAAAUCCAUGGACAUUCUUAGAGAAAAUGGUUCCAAAAAGGUUUGGCUGUCCCCAUAGAAUAAUCCUUUUGGGUUCUAGGUAGAAGUAUUUUGUGUUCCAUAUAGAACCCUCCUUGGAAAGAGUUUUUACAUGGAAACCAAAAUAGUUCUACCUGGAACCAAAAAGGGUUCUUCAAAGGGUUAUCCUAUGGGGAAAGCAGAAGAACCCUUUUAGGUUCUAGAUGGCACCUUUUUUUUUCUAAGGGUGUACACACAUCACACACAGUCAAAAACACACAAACAACUCUCUCACAAACACACACACUUGAUUCUGGACCAUUACAAAUGUAUUCCAGCCAUACAGUAUCAUAUGUAAUGUUGUGCAUAACAGUAAUGAGAAAUUAUACAUUUGUCAUAUUUUGUUGUUAAAAUAUUGUCUUCA